rnacentral:misc_RNA from 1 species
AAGGAUCAUUGUCGAAACCUGCAUAGCAGAACGACCCGCGAACACGUUACAAUACCGGGUGAGGGACGAGGGGUGCGCAAGCUCCCCAAGUUGCAAACUCAUGGUCGGGGACCACCCUUGGGUGGAUCUCGUCCGAACAACGACCCCCCGGCGCGGAAUGCGCCAAGGAAAUCAAACUGAACUGCACGCGUCCCCCCCGUUUGCGGGCGGCGGAAGCGUCUUUCUAAAACACAAACGACUCUCGGCAACGGAUAUCUCGGCUCUC